GUUUCAUUUUGUACAAAAUUACAACCUUAGCAAGAAGAGCCACGAGCGAGAUGACAGCACUCUGCAGUGCUGUGGUUCUUCAGCAUCAGAGCUGCUUUAGAAGGUCCCCGUUUCCCUGCUGCUGGUUUCUGCCAGGAGUGGCGUGAAUUCAAUUGAUCUCCAGUUUCAGCUGAAAAAAAGUCCUGGAGAGAGGAGUUGAUAAAGGGAACUCUAGGCACGACAUGAAGAACUGAUUUCUGGACAAACACCAGUGGAGAGUGAGCAGCCAACCCUUACUGCCUUGGGGAUUGCAUGCAUCCUUAAUUAUUGCAGUGCUGGACUCGAGAGGGAUGUGGCACAUCCAUCUGUGUCAUACCUCGACACCCAUCUGCCUGAAGCUGCAGCAGUUGCUGCAAGGCUGGCACGUCUUCAGGCACAACAGCUGGCUCAGAGCUUCUUCUCCAGUCCCUCCUGAAAGGCAUGAAAGAUACAGAAGAAAUUGCUGCUUGGACUUUCCAAACCAACAGGCUGCAUUCUUGAGGACCUUCUCUCUGGUAAGGCCUUUCAGCAUCUUCUGCUUUCAUGAAAGGAUCUCUGUGGUUUUGUUUGGGUUUUUUUGUUUUGUUUUUAACUUUCUGAAUAAUCUAGAGCAACCUUUAAAAAAUUACUGUAAGAUAAUUUGCAUGGAGGGUAAAUUCACCUGCACCCUGUGUUCCACACCUCAAGCCCUGUUCACAACAGUGAGGAUGCAGCUGUUGUGACACUGAGCUGUUUCCCAGGUGAAUUACUCAUGGUCACAUUCUCUUCAGCCUUGGGCUGAAGGAAGGCAGGAUUUCAAUACAUAUUAGGAAGAAAUUCUUUACUGUGGAGGUGGUGAGGAUCUGGCACAGGUUUCCUGAAGGUGUGGCUGCCCCUGGAUCCCUGGAAGUGUAUAAGACCAGGUUGGAUGUGGCUCUGAUCAACCUGGUCUAGUGGGAGGUGUCCCUGCCCACAACAGGGGGUUGGAACAUGAUGGUCAUUACGGUCCCUUCCAACCCAAACCAUUCCAUGAUUCACCAGGCUCCCUGCCCUGGGGCUACCUGCACCUCUCUCCCCUGUUUCUGGCCUGGGCAAGCUGAGAUGCCUGGGCAAUGCCUGCACAACCCCAAGGCCUUUUUAGGGGGAGCACCUGACUGCUGUCCCAGCAUGAAGCCCCUCACAGACCCCUCAGAUUUAGUGGAAAUUCCCCCCCAAACCAGACAAGCAGCCACUACCACAGGCUGUGCUCGGGAGCCACUGGCAGCCACAUCUGUGUCCCCACUAUGGCCACUGUCCUUGGGGACACAAGUAAAACAUCUUCAAAGGUGCCCCGGCAGAGCCCUUUCUCCAGGUCACAGGAUUAAUUAGGUUGGAAAACACCUCUGAGAUCAUCAAGUCCAACCUUUGAGUGAUCUCCACCAUGUGAAUUAGACCACAGCACUAAGUGACACAUCCAGUCCCUUCAGGGACAGUGACUCCACCAUGCCCCUCAGUACCUCAUUCCAGCGUCCAGCCACCUGUUCUGUGAAGAGCCUCUUCCAGAUGUCCAACCUCAACCUCCCCUGGUGCAGCUCGAGGCCAUUUACUCUUGUCCUGUUGCUGUUUGCCUGGGAGAAGAGGCUGGCUCACCUGGCUACAGCCUGUCAGGGAGCUGCAGAGAGGGACAAGAUCAUCCCUGAGCCUCCUUUUCUCUAGGCUGAACACCCCCAGCUCCUCAAAGGACUCGUGCUCCAGACUCUUCACCACUCCGUCACCCUUCUCUGGACACGCUCUGUCACCCCAAUGUCCUCCUGAACUGAGGUGGCCAGAACUGGACACAGUCUCUGGAGGCCCUGUGGGUAAACCCUGGGUGUUCCGCCCGGCUUUCCCUCAGCGAUCCGGCUGGACACCGCCGGACAACAUCAGACACGGCCGGACAUUGCCAGACACCAUUGUUGGACACCACCAGACACUGCUGGACAUCACAGGACACCACUGGAUUUUGCCGGACAUUGCCAGAUACCAUCGGACACCACCAGACACGGCUGGACAUCACCGGACAUUGCCGGACACCACUGGAUAUUGCUGGACAUUGCUGGACAUCACUGGACAUUGUCGGACAUCGCCGGACAUUGCCAGACACCAUCAGACACUGCCAGACAUACAUCUCUGGACACUG
rnacentral:lncRNA from 1 species